CUAUUUUGUUAAAUGUAUGGCAAGAGAGAAGACUGUAAUGAAUGGUUAGACAGUAAGUUUCUCCUGUGUUACAGGAAUCUCUGCAAUUACGCAAUACAAACCCUCUGCUCUGCAGUACUUGAGGUGGACGGUUGCUGAGCUGAAAUGAUAUUAAAUUUAAGAGAAAGUCAGAUAGCACCAGAUGAAAGUAAAAAGGCAUUUUGAAAGAUGUAAUAAAAUCCUCAGCCUUGGACAGUUAUGGAAAGAGAGACAGCACAUCACUCUCUAUUCAGGGAUCAUCUGACUACCAACAAGAAUCCAAGCCAUCAACAUAUUAUUUUACUCCUCAUGUUAACACAGAGUGAGGAUUUCAUCUACAAAAGAUGCCUAAAACAUAAGGAGAGUGAAGGACAAGUAGAGAGCAAGCAUUCAGUCUUACUGACCUCUGGCUCACUGAAAACCAGAACAUUUUCCCAAAUGCCACAUAAUUAUUAAUUCAUAGGAAGUUUCACAAGCUUGUGAUCUGAUCCAUAGACAACAAAAAUUGCUGUUUUGCAAAGAUUUUUCCAUUGAUUUUGGCCCUGGACCAUGCACUGAAGAUCUGGCAUCUGGAAUAGAUCUCCUUGCUUGAGAAAAGAUUUAAAGUGCACAGCUGAAGUUUCUGAUGUGAAGCAAGGAAAAGAAAUAUUGUUCUCCCAGUUAGUGCUGCCUAAGCUAUGUCCUGAGGAAAUGAGUAGCACCACAUGUUGCAAGUCACACAGUAACAGAGAAACAGCAGCAGCGCACUUCUGUGCACACAGCCAACAACCCUCCGAGUGCAGGACACAGUAUAAAUGUCUCAAAUAUAUUUUCUCUGCUUCAGCCCCUUUCCUUCUGUUCCCUC